rnacentral:rRNA from 1 species
AUUGAACGCUGGCGGCAGGCCUAACACAUGCAAGUCGAGCGAGCGGCGGACGGGUGAGUAAUGUAUGGGGAUCUGCCUGAUAGAGGGGGAUAACUACUGGAAACGGUGGCUAAUACCGCAUACUAUCAGAUGAACCCACAUGGGAUUAGCUAGUAGGUGGGGUAAUGGCGCACCUAGGCGACGAUCCCUACCUGGUCUGAGAGGAUGAUCAGCCACACUGGGACGGAGACACGGCCCAGACUCCUACGGGAGGCAGCAGUGGGGAAUAUUGCACGAUGGGCGCAAGCCGGAUGCAGCCAUGCCGCGUGUGGGAAGAAGGCCUUAGGGUUGUAAAGCACUUUCAGCGGGGAGGCGUUACCCGCAGAAGAAGCACCGGCUAACUCCGUGCCAGCAGCCGCGGUAAUUC